rnacentral:rRNA from 1 species
GACGAACGCUGGCGGCGUGCUUAACACAUGCAAGUCGAACGGAAAGGCCCUGCUUUUGUGGGGUGCUCGAGUGGCGAACGGGUGAGUAACACGUGAGUAACCUGCCCUUGACUUUGGGAUAACUUCAGGAAACUGGGGCUAAUACCGGAUAGGAGCUCCUGCUGCAUGGUGUGGGUUGGAAAGUUUCGGCGGUUGGGGAUGGACUCGCGGCUUAUCAGCUUGUUGGUGGGGUAGUGGCUUACCAAGGCUUUGACGGGUAGCCGGCCUGAGAGGGUGACCGGCCACAUUGGGACUGAGAUACGGCCCAGACUCCUACGGGAGGCAGCAGUGGGGAAUAGUGCACAAUGGGCGGAAGCCUGAUGCAGCAACGCCGCGUGCGGGAUGACGGGCUUCGGGUUGUAAACCGCUUUCGCCUGUGACGAAGCGUGAGUGACGGUAAUGGGUAAAGAAGCACCGGCUAACUACGUG